UGGGGAAUAUUGCGCAAUGGAGAGACACUCUGACGCAGCAAUACCGCGUGAGCGAAGAAGGUCUUCGGAUCGUAAAGCUCUGUACACGGGGAAGAAAAAAUGACGGUACCCGUGGAGCAAGUCCCGGCUAACUACGUGCCAGCAGCCGCGGUAACACGUAGGGGACGAGCGUUGUCCGGAAUGACUGGGCGUAAAGGGCGCGCAGGCGGCCUUUUAAGCAGGAAGUGAAAGGCCCCGGCUCAACCGGGGAGAGGCUUUCUGAACUGGAAGGCUUGAGUAUUGGAGAGGCAGGCGGAAUUCCUGGUGUAGCGGUGAAAUGCGCAGAGAUCAGGAGGAACACCGGAGGCGAAGGCGGCCUGCUGGACAAAUACUGACGCUGAGGCGCGAAAGCGUGGGGAGCAAACAGG
rnacentral:rRNA from 1 species